rnacentral:rRNA from 1 species
UGGUGGAGUGAUUUGUCUGGUUAAUUCCGUUAACGAACGAGACCUCGACCUGCUAAAUAGUUGUGCUAAUUCUUGUAAUUUGUACUAACUUCUUAGAGGGACUAUCGGUGUGUAGCCGAUGGAAGUUCGAGGCAAUAACA